GGCGCAUUCGUCUAGAGGCCUAGGACGCGUCCCUCUCAAGGACGAGACCACGGGUUCGAAUCCCGUAUGCGCUACCA
rnacentral:tRNA from 1 species